CACUGGUGGGCCUUGCUUAGUCCC
rnacentral:misc_RNA from 1 species